CCUACGGGUGGCUGCAGUAAGGAAUAUUGCGCAAUGGGCGAAAGCCUGACGCAGCGACGCCGCGUGGGGGAUGAAGGUCUUCGGAUUGUAAACCCCUUUCGGGAGGGAAGAUGGAGCGAGCAAUCGUUCGGACGGUACCUCCAGAAGCAGCCACGGCCAACUUCGUGCCAGCAGCCGCGGUAAUACGAAGGUGGCAAGCGUUGAUCCACUGGACGGGGCGUACAGGGAGGCGGGGCGGUUAGGUAAGCCUUAAAGCUUCGGGCCCAACCCGGAAAGCGCAGAGGGUACUGCCAGGCUAGAGGGUGGGAGAGGAGCGCGGAAUUCCCGGUGUAGCGGUGAAAUGCGUAGAGAUCGGGAGGAAGGCCGGUGGCGAAGGCGGCGCUCUGGAACAUACCUGACGCUGAGACACGAAAGCGUGGGGAGCAAACAGGAUUAGAUACCCCUGUAGUC
rnacentral:rRNA from 1 species